rnacentral:sRNA from 1 species
CCCACCCAUCUCACCAGCCUGCGCCCCCCAGGUUUGCCUACAAGGACGAGUAUGAGAAGUUCAAGCUCUACCUCACCAUCAUCCUCAUCCUCAUCUCCUUCACUUGCCGCUUCCUGCUCAACUCCAGGUGGGCGUCCCACCCCGGCCGAGGACCCACCCCAUCCCCAGUCACUGCAGUACCAACCCUCGGUCCCCUCCCUCCAUAGGGUGACAGACGCUGCCUUCAACUUCCUGCUGGUCUGGUACUACUGCACCCUGACCAUCCGGGAGAGCAUCCUCAUCAACAACGGCUCCCGGUGGGCAGGGCGGGCCCUGAGGGAGGGGAGCAUGGAAUGGGGCGCCAGG